rnacentral:rRNA from 1 species
UACAGAGGUCUCAAGCGUUGUUCGGAAUCACUGGGCGUAAAGGGUGCGUAGGCCGCACGGUAAGUCAGAUGUGAAAUCUCAGGGCUCAACUCUGAAAUUGCAUCCGAUACUGCCGUGCUUGAGGACUGGAGAGGAGUCUGGAAUUCAUGGUGGAGCAGUGAAAUGCGUAGAUAUCGGGAGGAACACCAGUGGCGAAGGCGACUUUCUGGCCUGUUCUUGACGCUGAGGCGCGAAAGCUAGGGGAGCAAACGGG